AUGUUUUGGUAAUUUCCAAUAUAUUUUGAAGCUCAAAAAGUGUAACACUCAAUUGACAGCUCACGUUUUGGUUAAUGUAAUGCUUUUAAUAUAAUUAUUAAGAUUUUCAAUUAAGAUUUUCAAGGUAAAAAAAGUGUAAGAGUCAACAUUCACAGCUCACAUGUUCCUAUUUUCCAAUAUUAUAUUCUAUUUAAUUCUUUCUCCUAAUAUUUUGAAGGUGAAUAUAUUAAUUCUCUCUUGAUAUUUCUGGAAGUUUCCUUUCAAAUAGUUAUCUCUUCCUCUUCUUCUCUCUCUCAGUUUCUCUGUAAUUACUGUGUAUAGUUGGGAAAUGAUCAAGACAACAAAUAAGAACACCCAUUAGAUCAAUGACAAGAGAAGGCUUGCGACGGCGGCAACCACCACCAGCACCACUGAAUUCAUAACGAAGCUCAAUAUUGUCGACAUGCAGACCUCCACCAGGCAUGUUCUAAUUCUGUUUUGGUGGAUUUGUAUUACAAAAUUCUCUCAUACCUUUAAGGUUAAUUCUUUGAAUUGUAAAAUAUAUUUAGAGUAACUGAUGCUCUUAUUUUAUUUCAAUUAUUGGUAAAGAUUUCGAAUUUUGGCUUUAAAGGGUUCAUUUAUUUGUUUUGUUAGUUUGCUCUGCUAUCAUCCAACUAACUUUGUAAUUAAUUGGGUUGUUUAAUUGGGUUCUAAUUUUUUAUUAUAUACAUAUUCAUGGAUGUCCUGUAA